GGGUCUGUAGCUCAGUCGGUUAGAGCACCGUCUUGAUAAGGCGGGGGUCGUUGGUUCGAGUCCAACCAGACCCACCA
rnacentral:tRNA from 1 species